rnacentral:rRNA from 1 species
GUAGGGUGCGAGCGUUAAUCGGAAUUACUGGGCGUAAAGCGUGCGCAGGCGGUUCGUUAAGUUCGAUGUGAAAGCCCCGGGCUCAACCUGGGAACUGCAUUGGAAACUGGCGAGCUUGAGUAUGGCAGAGGGGGGUGGAAUUCCGCGUGUAGCAGUGAAAUGCGUAGAGAUGCGGAGGAACACCGAUGGCGAAGGCAGCCCCCUGGGCCAAUACUGACGCUCAGGCACGAAAGCGUGGGGAGCAAACAGGAUUAGAUACCCUGGUAGUCCACGCCCUAAACGAUGCUCAACUAGGUGUUGGGGAAGCGAUUCCUUGGUACCGUAGCUAACGCGUGAAGUGACCCGCCUGGGGAGUACGGCCGCAAGGUUA